rnacentral:rRNA from 1 species
GACGAACGCUGGCGGCGUGCUUAACACAUGCAAGUCGAACGGAAAGGCCCUGCUUUUGUGGGGUGCUCGAGUGGCGAACGGGUGAGUAACACGUGAGUAACCUGCCCUUGACUUUGGGAUAACUUCAGGAAACUGGGGCUAAUACCGGAUAGGAGCUCCUGCUGCAUGGUGGGGGUUGGAAAGUUUCGGCGGUUGGGGAUGGACUCGCGGCUCAUCAGCUUGUUGGUGGGGUAGUGGCUUACCAAGGCUUUGACGGGUAGCCGGACUGGGAGGGUGACCGGCCACAUUGGGACUGAAAUACGGCGCAGACUCCUACGGGAGGCAGCAGUGGGGAAUAUUGCACAAUGGGCGGAAGCCUGAUGCAGCAACGCCGCGUGCGGGAUGACGGCCUUCGGGUUGUAAACCGCUUUCGCCUGUGACGAAGCGUGAGUGACAGAAAUGGGUAAAGAAGCACCGGCUAACUACGUG